rnacentral:rRNA from 1 species
UCAGAUUGAACGCUGGCGGAAUGCUUUACACAGUGCAAGUCGAACGGUAGAGGGGGCAACCCCUUGAGAGUGGCGAACGGGUGAGUAAUAUAUCGGAACGUGCCCAGUCGUGGGGGAUAACGUAGCGAAAGCUACGCUAAUACCGCAUACGAUCUAUGGAUGAAAGCGGGGAUCGCAAGACCUCGCGCGAUUGGAGCGGCCGAUAUCAGAUUAGGUAGUUGGUGAGGUAAAGGCUCACCAAGCCGACGAUCUGUAGCUGGUCUGAGAGGACGACCAGCCACACUGGGACUGAGACACGGCCCAGACUCCUACGGGAGGCAGCAGUGGGGAAUUUUGGACAAUGGGCGCAAGCCUGAUCCAGCAAUGCCGCGUGCAGGAUGAAGGCCUUCGGGUUGUAAACUGCUUUUGUACGGAACGAAACGGUGAGCUCUAAUACAGUUUGCUAAUGACGGUACCGUAAGAAUAAGCACCGGCUAACUACGUG